GCUGGGCAUGGUGGCAUAUGACUGUAAUCCCAGCAACUCGGGGGGCUGAAACAGGAGGAUCACAAGUUCAAAGCCAACCUCAGCAAUGGAGAGGUGCUAAGCAACUUAGUGAGACCCUGUCUCUA
rnacentral:sRNA from 1 species